CCUACGGGAGGCAGCAGUGGGGAAUAUUGCACAAUGGGGGAAACCCUGAUGCAGCGACGCCGCGUGAGUGAAGCAGUAAUUCGUUAUGUAAAGCUCUAUCAGCAGGGAAGAAAAUGACGGUACCUGAGUAAGAAGCCCCGGCUAACUACGUGCCAGCAGCCGCGGUAAUACGUAGGGGGCAAGCGUUAUCCGGAUUUACUGGGUGGAAAGGGAGCGUAGACGGCAGUGCAAGUCUGGAGUGAAAGGCGGGGGCUCAACCCCCGGACUGCUCUGGAAACUGUACGGCUGGAGUGCAGGAGAGGUAAGUGGAAUUCCUAGUGUAGCGGUGAAAUGCGUAGAUAUUAGGAGGAACACCAGUGGCGAAGGCGGCUUACUGGACUGUAACUGACGUUGAGGCUCGAAAGCGUGGGGAGCAAACAGGAUUAGAUACCCCUGUAGUC
rnacentral:rRNA from 1 species